rnacentral:rRNA from 1 species
AAAUCAAGGCUGAGGCGUGAUGACGAGGCACUGCGGUGCUGAAGCAACAAAUGCCCUGCUUCCAGGAAAAGCCUCUAAGCAUCAGGUAACAUCAAAUCGUACCCCAAACCGACACAGGUGGUCAGGUAGAGAAUACCAAGGCGCUUGAGAGAACUCGGGUGAAGGAACUAGGCAAAAUGGUGCCGUAACUUCGGGAGAAGGCACGCUGAUAUGUAGGUGAAGUCCCUCGCGGAUGGAGCUGAAAUCAGUCGAAGAUACCAGCUGGCUGCAACUGUUUAUUAAAAACACAGCACUGUGCAAACACGAAAGUGGACGUAUACGGUGUGACGCCUGCCCGGUGCCGGAAGGUUAAUUGAUGGGGUUAGCGCAAGCGAAGCUCUUGAUCGAAGCCCCGGUAAACGGCGGCCGUAACUAUAACGGUCCUAAGGUAGCGAAAUUCCUUGUCGGGUAAGUUCCGACCUGCACGAAUGGCGUAAUGAUGGCCAGGCUGUCUCCACCCGAGACUCAGUGAAAUUGAACUCGCUGUGAAGAUGCAGUGUACCCGCGGCAAGACGGAAAGACCCCGUGAACCUUUACUAUAGCUUGACACUGAACAUUGAGCCUUGAUGUGUAGGAUAGGUGGGAGGCUUUGAAGUGUGGACGCCAGUCUGCAUGGAGCCGACCUUGAAAUACCACCCUUUAAUGUUUGAUGUUCUAACGUUGACCCGUAAUCCGGGUUGCGGACAGUGUCUGGUGGGUAGUUUGACUGGGGCGGUCUCCUCCUAAAGAGUAACGGAGGAGCACGAAGGUUGGCUAAUCCUGGUCGGACAUCAGGAGGUUAGUGCAAUGGCAUAAGCCAGCUUGACUGCGAGCGUGACGGCGCGAGCAGGUGCGAAAGCAGGUCAUAGUGAUCCGGUGGUUCUGAAUGGAAGGGCCAUCGCUCAACGGAUAAAAGGUACUCCGGGGAUAACAGGCUGAUACCGCCCAAGAGUUCAUAUCGACGGCGGUGUUUGGCACCUCGAUGUCGGCUCAUCACAUCCUGGGGCUGAAGUAGGUCCCAAGGGUAUGGCUGUUCGCCAUUUAAAGUGGUACGCGAGCUGGGUUUAGAACGUCGUGAGACAGUUCGGUCCCUAUCUGCCGUGGGCGCUGGAGAACUGAGGGGGGCUGCUCCUAGUACGAGAGGACCGGAGUGGACGCAUCACUGGUGUUCGGGUUGUCAUGCCAAUGGCACUGCCCGGUAGCUAAAUGCGGAAGAGAUAAGUGCUGAAAGCAUCUAAGCACGAAACUUGCC